UGAUUGUCUGCCCCGCCCUAAUUGGUGUCACCUGUUGCCCAUUGCCUUGUGAUUUUAAGUCUCGUUGUUUCCCUGUGUCCUUGUCCGUUCGUCUUUGUCAAUGGCUGAGUCUGCCUGUGUCUUUACUUGUGUUUAGCCUUUUCUGUGCUUG